rnacentral:rRNA from 1 species
GAACGCGAAGAACCUUACCAGGUCUUGACAUCCCUCUGACCGCUCUAGAGAUAGAGCUUUCCUUCGGGACAGAGGUGACAGGUGGUGCAUGGUUGUCGUCAGCUCGUGUCGUGAGAUGUUGGGUUAAGUCCCGCAACGAGCGCAACCCCUAUUGUUAGUUGCCAUCAUUGAGUUGGGCACUCUAGCGAGACUGCCGGUAAUAAACCGGAGGAAGGUGGGGAUGACGUCAAAUCAUCAUGCCCCUUAUGACCUGGGCUACACACGUGCUACAAUGGCUGGUACAACGAGUCGCGAGUCGGUGACGGCAAGCUAAUCUCUUAAAGCCAGUCUCAGUUCGGAUUGUAGGCUGCAACUCGCCUACAUGAAGUCGGAAUCGCUAGUAAUCGCGGAUCAGCACGCCGCGGUGAAUACGUUCCCGGGUCUUGUACACACC